rnacentral:misc_RNA from 1 species
GAUGAAGAACGUAGCGAAAUGCGAUAAGUAGUGUGAAUUGCAGAAUUCAGUGAAUCAUCGAAUCUUUGAACGCACAUUGCGCCCCUUGGUAUUCCAUGGGGCAUGCCUGUUCGAGCGUCAUUUGUACCUUCAAGCUCUGCUUGGUGUUGGGUGUUUGUCUCGCCUCUGCGUGUAGACUCGCCUCAAAACAAUUGGCAGCCGGCGUAUUGAUUUCGGAGCGCAGUACAUCCCGCGCUUUGCACUCAUAACGACGACGUCCAAAAGUACAUUUUUACACUCUUGACCUCGGAUCAGGUAGGGAUACCCGCUGAACUUAAGCAUAUCAAUAAGCGGAGGA